CAUAGGUUAAUGAGGCGAACCGGGGGAACUGAAACAUCUAAGUACCCCGAGGAAAAGAAAUCAACCGAGAUUCCCCCAGUAGCGGCGAGCGAACGGGGAGGAGCCCAGAGCCUGAAUCAGUGUGUGUGUUAGUGGAAGCGUCUGGAAAGGCGCGCGAUACAGGGUGACAGCCCCGUACACAAAAAUGCACAUGCUGUGAGCUCGAUGAGUAGGGCGGGACACGUGGUAUCCUGUCUGAAUAUGGGGGGACCAUCCUCCAAGGCUAAAUACUCCUGACUGACCGAUAGUGAACCAGUACCGUGAGGGAAAGGCGAAAAGAACCCCGGCGAGGGGAGUGAAAAAGAACCUGAAACCGUGUACGUACAAGCAGUGGGAGCACGCUUAGGCGUGUGACUGCGUACCUUUUGUAUAAUGGGUCAGCGACUUAUAUUCUGUAGCAAGGUUAACCGAAUAGGGGAGCCGAAGGGAAACCGAGUCUUAACUGGGCGUUAAGUUGCAGGGUAUAGACCCGAAACCCGGUGAUCUAGCCAUGGGCAGGUUGAAGGUUGGGUAACACUAACUGGAGGACCGAACCGACUAAUGUUGAAAAAUUAGCGGAUGACUUGUGGCUGGGGGUGAAAGGCCAAUCAAACCGGGAGAUAGCUGGUUCUCCCCGAAAGCUAUUUAGGUAGCGCCUCGUGAAUUCAUCUCCGGGGGUAGAGCACUGUUUCGGCAAGGGGGUCAUCCCGACUUACCAACCCGAUGCAAACUGCGAAUACCGGAGAAUGUUAUCACGGGAGACACACGGCGGGUGCUAACGUCCGUCGUGAAGAGGGAAACAACCCAGACCGCCAGCUAAGGUCCCAAAGUCAUGGUUAAGUGGGAAACGAUGUGGGAAGGCCCAGACAGCCAGGAUGUUGGCUUAGAAGCAGCCAUCAUUUAAAGAAAGCGUAAUAGCUCACUGGUCGAGUCGGCCUGCGCGGAAGAUGUAACGGGGCUAAACCAUGCACCGAAGCUGCGGCAGCGACACUAUGUGUUGUUGGGUAGGGGAGCGUUCUGUAAGCCUGUGAAGGUGUGCUGUGAGGCAUGCUGGAGGUAUCAGAAGUGCGAAUG
rnacentral:rRNA from 1 species